rnacentral:misc_RNA from 1 species
GAUGAAGAACGUAGCGAAAUGCGAUAAGUAAUGUGAAUUGCAGAAUUCAGUGAAUCAUCGAAUCUUUGAACGCACAUUGCGCCCGCCAGUAUUCUGGCGGGCAUGCCUGUCUGAGCGUCACUUCAACCCUCAUGCCCCUAGGGCGUGGUGUUGGGGAUCGGCCAAAGCCCGCGAGGGACGGCCGGCCCCUAAAUCUAGUGGCGGACCCGUCGUGGCCUCCUCUGCGAAGUAGUGAUAUUCCGCAUCGGAGAGCGACGAGCCCCUGCCGUUAAACCCCCAACUUUCCAAGGUUGACCUCAGAUCAGGUAGGAAUACCCGCUGAACUUAAGCAUAUCAAUAAGCGGAGGA